rnacentral:rRNA from 1 species
AUUGAACGCUGGCGGCAGGCUUAACACAUGCAAGUCGAGCGGGGAAGAGUAGCUUGCUACUUGACCUAGCGGCGGACGGGUGAGUAAUGCUUAGGAAUCUGCCUAUUAGUGGGGGACAACAUCUCGAAAGGGAUGCUAAUACCGCAUACGUCCUACGGGAGAAAGCAGGGGACCUUCGGGCCUUGCGCUAAUAGAUGAGCCUAAGUCGGAUUAGCUAGUUGGUGGGGUAAAGGCCUACCAAGGCGACGAUCUGUAGCGGGUCUGAGAGGAUGAUCCGCCAACAAUGGCACUACGCCCCGCCCAGGCCUCAACCGGACGCAGCAAGUGGGGAUAAUUGGCGACGGGGGGGAACCUGAUCCAGACGAGGCGCGGGUGUGGAGAAAGGCGUUUGGGUGUUAAACAAGUUAAGCGAGGAGGAGGCUACCGAGAUUAAUACUCUUGGAUAGUGGACGUUACUCGCAGAAUAAGCACCGGCUAACUCUGUG